UGUACACGACCCGCUUCACCGUCUUGGAGUUCAGGCAGGCCCUUAGGAUGCCCAACGCUCCAUCGAUGGAUCUUUUGGUGACGACCGGCUCUGGCUCUCUGUCCUCGAAGUCCACCGGGGUGGCAACAUGGAAGACUCCGACACAGCCCUCGAUGGCUGGGCUGAAACUCUCGGGGUCACUGAGAUCAGCGGUUAGGAUUUGGAGCCUUUCUGAUGCUCCGGGUAGAUUUUUCAAGAAGCUCGUGUCCCUUUUGCCAUCUGACCGGAACAAAUCGGUCAAUGGCUUUGCGAAUAAAAGCUCAAACAUCUAAUGGGAAACUGAUGUGUGAGGUAAACUGGAGAUAGCAGUCCAAAAUAAAUUAACCAACGUGACUCAUUCAGGAAACACUCCGAAUUACAGCAUUAAACUUAGCAACGAGAACUGCAAGAAAAGCUGAUUCAAGAGAGAACGAGUGAAUUCAUAAUGUAGAACAAGAGCAAGAAAUCAUCAUUAACCGAUUCAGCUGCCCCUAAUUCAAGACAUCCUUAUCUCAUCUUAUGCCUUCUCAUGCUUGAAAGGGCGGCAAAAAAGGGUUGCUUUUCUUAUGGUUCCAAGCCCAAUGACAAUUCCGAUCAGAAUCGAACCUCAAACGCCCGAACCUGACAAAAUACAUAGAAAUUUCUCCAUCUGUCGACACCCCAACUUUCUGCAUAAACAUUUCACAUGAACAGACCGUAAACACAUGAGCAGUCCCACACACUUAAUCUAUACGAUCAAUCUUCGAUCAAGAAAGCUAACCUUAGUAUUGCCAAUAAAUUUGCGGGCACAGACAGAUCAGAUCACGUUGGACCGUCGUGUUGACAUAUACAGUACAAAACAUCAAUCUCAGACCAUACACUUGAUCAGAACUCAUGGCAAGAACGAAUCUCCAUGUUCAAGCAGGAAGAAAGUGUUAGUAGUAUUAUGCCCUAUAUUAACUUGUUUAUUUAAAAAAAAAAAAAAAAAGCUUCAUGCAUGUGCACGAAUUCGUGCACAUGCACGAAGCGUANNNNNNNNNNNNNNNNNNNNNNNNNNNNNNNNNNNNNNNNNNNNNNNNNNNNNNNNNNNNNNNNNNNNNNNNNNNNNNNNNNNNNNNNNNNNNNNNNNNNNNNNNNNNNNNNNNNNNNNNNNNNNNNNNNNNNNNNNNNNNNNNNNNNNNNNNNNNNNNNNNNNNNNNNNNNNNNNNNNNNNNNNNNNNNNAGAGUUAAAGAGGGUUGUUGAAAAACAGAGAAAAGAGUUAGUGUGUUUUUUGGUUUUGUUCGAGAGAAACACAAGCGAGAAAUCAGUGAUGCUUUGCUGAAAAUAGAAAGCAAAGUGCAUGCGUGUUCUUUUGUCUUUGAGACACGAGGAAGAGAAACAAUUCUCUCGUUCGGGCCGUGACUAUUAUACACCAAGAAUACGACGGAUUCUUUUCACGUGAUUGCUAGCACGAUCGAAGUGGUGGAUAUCCGAAAGUUCUCCCUUCCGUUCAACGUUCGUUGUUGGUGUGUCUGAACUAGAGGUCCGACGCUUGUGGGACUCGUACUGUAGAACAUCCGAACCGACUUGUUUCAAAGCGCGCUUCUAGAGGUAUUUCAUUUAACUCCCUUUUAUGUUUAGAUUUUUGAUUGAAACGCACAAACAACGCCUAAGGAAAAUCAUGUGUAAAAUAUAUAUUUGUUUCCGCUGCGUACUUUAUGUUAAUAUUUCUUAUACAUGAUUAAUGAAAACCCAACAGAAAGAAGAAGGGAGACUUACCCGGGUCGGGUCUGACGGUGGUCCGGACGGAGUAACCAUGUUCAAGGAGCCUCAUGAUGAGCCAUGAAGCUACGAAGCCAGUACCGCCUGUCACGCACACCGUGCCUCUGUUGCCCUCCAUGGCUUGGAGAAGUGAGACUUCAAUUUUCAGGAAGCAUCCAACUUUUUUGAGUGACCUCGAUGUUUCGGCUGGCAGAACGGGGGGCGCUUCUCCACUUAAAAGCGGAUGCAACGCCGCUUACGUCACUUUGAUUUUCAUUUUCAAAAGGGGCCAAAAAAAUAAAUGAGUGGUAACGGAUACAUCUUCCCCUGAAAGUCAUUUUCCAUUUGAAUCAUAGACACUCAAUCUACUUUUCAAUCAUCCAUUGUGGACGCAAUCCUACACCAAUGUGUCAAUAGACAAGUAUCUCUCGACAUUAAAUGCCUAUGACACAAGUUGGCUAGAGAUUCAUACUCAAUAAAACUCUAAUUUAUGACUUAAUUAAAGACAAGAUACCCAUUUGCUACUAGACUACCACAUUCGGUGGUACAACGACUUGACAUAUGUUGGAUAAUAUUUUUUAACAUCUUAAAUUCUUUGAAAAAAAAAUACUUGUUUAACAUGGUAUUAGAGCACAAGUGACAAGGUUGAAUGCCUAGACUCCCUCCCAUGUUUUGUAUGUUUAUCCAUCCUCGAUUUUUCGUUUGAUGUGAUUAUGCACCUAUCUCGUAUUUCAAAUGUAAGUCUUGAUUCACACACAAUAAAGGGUCUUAAAUAAUAUGGUGCAUCAAUAAUGUUGGCAACCAUCUAAACAGCUUAAAACUUUUUCGAAAGAAAAAAUGAUUUGUUUCACUAUCUAUAGAUCUUUUGAUUUCUUAGAAUUCAAUGAAUUCGUCAUUUCAUUCAAGUUUUUCACUUUAUCACCAAUCAAUAGUUGGACGGAAGUGUUACAACAUGAUCAGCAAUUAUUUCUUUUUUCUACAAAAUGUCAGGAUCAUAACAAAUACACAAAAAGAUCUUAAUUGUUUGUGAAAAUUAAUUUGCCGAUCGAUAAUAGAUAGAACAACUGCCCGACACAUUAAAAUGCUUUAAUGAUAUAGAGUUGUGGGCAUCAAGAUAUCGCGGCACUAAACUAUACCAAUAAUGCCAUUCAUUUUGUGGAAUAUGUUCACCCAAUUAAGCGAUAUAACUGUUGGCCUCAAAUAAGAGAAUAUCCUAAUGAACUUGUUACCGAGACAAUAUGAACUUCUCUCUAUACAUAUUUUUAUAACCCUCAGAAAUUCUCAUUUGAAUCAAAUAAACCAUGAACACACUGGCAAAAUCAUUCAUGGUUUGACGAAGAGAUUUGUACGAUUCCAUCAUUAUCGCGUCCCAAAAGAGGACGACCCUCGUCGUGCCAUUCGAUGUUAGUGGAGGUGUCCACAAUUCUCUGUCAUGGUCCUGCUCGAAUGCUGGCGGUGGGGUUGGCGCUCGGUCUCAAUCCAACGAAGAGGACCAUCCAUGGCGAGAAACCCUACUUUUCAUCUCAAUUGAACUCGCUAUCCGGACCAGUGCAUGACCGGUGUCGAUCGUUUACACGAUCUUUAUCCUCACCCAGCUGUGCUUGGAGGGAGCACGCCUAGUUAGGUUAAUCAGUGCCUGUUGACUCUCUUUCCUGCGAUGAGACAAAGCUACUUUUCCCUUUUGUCUCUCUCGUGCUCUCGUCCUUUCCUUUCCCUCAAUAUGGCCGUUCGAUCUACACGCUGGUUCGCUUUCUCUGAAGAUGUGGGUGAUUCUACACUGACCCAGCAGCUGCAUUAGGCCUCUGCGGUAGCGCCAUUAGCAUUUGGACGUCCCUAUUAGAAAAGACUCACAUAGCAUCUGUUUCCACUUCAAGUAAUUGCGCUCCCUUAUCUGCACUAGGUUCCUUGAUCAUCACGCAAUACGCUUCCAGCUCCCAGGUGCACCUAUUGCUCCUACGACGGCACCUUCAGUAUUGAGCUUGUGCCAGCCUUCGUGGAGGUCACUUCCAAGGAUGAACAGCUCUAUUCCUAGCUCCUCCUCCCCCACUUUUGUUCCCAACCCAAUUCUUAUGUGCAGACGCAUAACCAAUCUGUGGCCAACAUUAGCGCCGGUCCAGUCCCUCAGACUAAGAUCAUAACUAUGGUGAAGGGGAGAAGGAGCACCAAUGUCAGCCCAACAUUCAUUAAGGAGAGAUAGUGCUAACAUUCGAAUCUCUUCUCGCCAGAGUGGAUCUCGUGGCAAUGCUGGUAGUGACAUUAACCAAAUGAUGAGGAACAACAUCCGCUUUCCACGCGCAGCUCCAGUCUUCUUCCAGCUUUCUCCAAGUAUCCAAGCCUUCAGCCAAAUGAUAAGCAUCGUUCAAAGUAAAGCGCCAGUCCCUAGAGAAACUCCAACCGAAUUCAGAGUGUCCCUUGCCCCUCUUCCGAUCUGGACUGCCUGGGUCCAUUACCGUUAUUCUAUAAGCGCUCGGAUAAAGUCGCGAUCCGCCGUGCUUACCUGGGUCGGGACGGAUGGUGGCCCGGACCGAGUAACCCUUCUCGAGGAGCCUCAUGAUCGUCCAUGUAGCCAAGUAUCCAGUCCCGCCCGUUACACACACCAUGCCUUUACCGCUCUCCAUCAACGACUCUCUCUCUCUCUCUUUCCCAAGCUAGCUUGUGAUGGAAAUGGUGCUUUUUUAUGCUACUGGAGAGAGGUGGCCGACAGUAGCCAGGAAAGAAUGUUAGAUAUUUCGCCGCAUAUGUAACAGGGUUUGUGGACAUUCAUUAUGAGAUCCUGAAUUAAAUCGCUUGAGAGUGUUCGCUUUGACCAAUUCCAUGUCGAGCUUCGUGGUUGUCCUUUAACGAACGGGGAAGUAAUUUCUCAUGAGGUUACCAAUCUUGGAAGCUAUGAAACAUCGACACACCUCAAGAGCUUUUGUGUCGUGUCGGACACUUCGAUACAUGUCCGACACUCUCCAACACUUUCGGACACUCUCUGACACUCAGUCAACACAUGUCGGAAAAUCCAACACUUAGUCAACUUUUCUAACACUCUCCAACACUUGAGUCGAAAUUCUAACAUGCGAGUUUCUAACACAAGAUUUUUAUAUUGAGGUCAAUUUUAAAAAUUCAAUAAAUGAGAGGUCAAAAUAUUUUCACACACAAUAAUAAAAAUAAUAAAUGGAGAAAGAAGAAAAACCCAAUCUUCUUUUAUCUUUUGACUCCCACUUCCUGUGAUACACAAUUUUACCUCUUAAGUUUUUUUCAUCAUCUUCCAACAUAUAUAACAUGCGAGUCCAGAAAUAUAGACUGCUUGUUUUUUCUCUAAGUUUUAUGAAUUAUUGAAAUAUAAUUGAAUUUGUCAAAUUGAAACAAUAAAUGAUAUUAAUAAAUGGCGAAUUAAUGUUUUUAGUGUAUAUUCAUUCUAGGCUUAUUUAUUUAUUUAUUUAUUUAUUUAUUUAUGAAUUUGAUUAAAAUUAUCUUGAUUGAAAUAAUCAUAAAUAUGAUAAUUUUAAUAUGCAUGUCCCAACGUGUCGGAAUUCUCUAGUUUUUGAAAAAUGAUGUGUCGACGUGUCGUGUCGUGUGGUAUCGUGUUGCGUGUCGAUGCUACUUAGCUUGGAAGUGCCUUAAUUUGAGCUCACUUAACUUUGAAGUUCCAAAGCAAAUUUUAACAUUAUAUCAAAAAAAGCCUCUGUAAGUUAGUUUUUGCACAAUUCGGUUCAGUACAUAAUUCAGUUCAUUCAUACACCCUUCACCAUCCUAAAAGCUCGUCACGAGCCACUCAUUGUCUAGGCCUUCUAGCCCCGGCAACUACUCCCCACUCUUAUCGGAUCGAGUUGUUAUGUUUAUAAUGUAGGAUCCAUUAUCGUUAUUAUUAGAAGAUUUAAAUUUACAAAUAGAGAAGAUUGGCAUUCGCUCUGACGGAUGAUGACCACUCCCGUUCCCCUUCCCCUUCCGCAUACGCAACCAUAUGGAAAGCAAAGGACCCCCUUGAAUAGUUUGCAAGCGAUAGCAUCGAAAAAUUGGAGCCUUUACUCAGUCUAGAAUCGGCGUGAAGACCGGAAUUUUUUUUAUUUUUUUUGGCGUGUGAAGACCGGAAAUUUGAAGACCGAGCAGUAGUAUACCAGUCGUUCCGGCACGGUUGAAAUACUAAUUCCUAGAUGAACGGAUUUCAACUUCAUGCACGGUCGGAUCAUAGCAUUGACACAGGGAACGAUUAGUUUUUCUUGCCCUUUUAGAUAAACAGUCUGCAGCGUGGGCAACCAUGCUUGGUAGUACCCACUUGAAUGAAGGUCAACCUGUUGUUCAACCUCUGCCUCUUUCGCGGCUCUGAUUUAGUUUAUAGGAGAUGCAGAAAUGGAGAUGUUCAUCAAAUCUAUAGAUCAGGAAGCAUGGAAAGUCAUUGAAAAUGGACCAUGCGCUGCAUCAAACGAAGGAAGAGAUGAUAUUCAUGAGAAGGAACUAGCGCAAGCUACAAAUCUGGGCAUAGGCUCGAUUGCACUCCAACGCGGGCUGAAUAUAAUUAGAUAUCAAUGUGGAGAACAGCGAUGGAGAUUCGGGAUGGAUCGGGGGUAACCAGUGAGGAAACCAAAAGUGAAGAAGAGUUAAAUUAUCUCAGCUGAUGCGCUUAACUCGAAGGAGCAUACCAACUCUCCAAGUAAUGUUUAUACUGACUAGAAAAAUUUGAGCGUUUUCUUUAGGACUUUAGGGGCAAAAGAAAUUGUCACGGGACAAUGACGAAAGCAACGGGGACAAAACGGAGGUAAUUUGCUUUGCUUUGCUUGUAAGAAAUUAGGACAUGUCAAGUUCGAGUAUCCUGCUUGCACGAGGAGGAGGGAGGAAAUCAAAGAAAUACAGGGCAAUGGAAUCAACUUGGAGUGAUCUUGGUAUCUCUAGUGAAAAGGAGAGAAAAGGCGAACUUGUGUUUAAUGGCUAGUAGCCUAGUACCAAUGCUAUGGAAUAGGUAAACGAUUUCCUAGAUUGGUGAUGCUUUUUGAUGACGAUUUUGAUUUUGCCUUGGAAGAAAUGUAAGUUGAGUGGAAAAGGGUUUCGACAAUGAACGUUGUAUUGAAUAAGGAAAAUGGUUCUAUGCAAUACUUUCUUGAAGAAUGAAAGGGUGCUUUCAGUAGUACUUCCAAUAGGAAAGGCAGAGUUGCUUGAUAUAGCAUGGAUUAAAAAAGACAGUGGAGAUGCUAUCGAUUUCUUACAGUACAUGGCAACAUAGAUGGUGCAUUAAGCUUCGGAAACAGAAAUUCUCAACAAUAUUCACGAAGAACCAAACACACGUAUAUCAUGAUCUAUGCUAUAAGUGCUUCUGUUCUCAGUACUGCAAUAUCAAAUGUACAAGAACAGAAACAUACAGUACCAAGAUUAUUUAUGCGGUUUGCUAUCUCCUAUAUGGCGCUCGGAUAAAUUAGUUUUCACAAGCUGUGCUAGAUACAUGGUACGCAUUUUCUCACCAUGUUUCUCUAUUCUUUCUGCAUUUUGUUUAGAGGACUAUUUUCAGCCAAGGUCAGAAAAGAAAUAGGUCAUACCAUUAAAUGGCAUCAUGUCCACUUUCUGGUACUCUGAACAUUCCUACGUUCAGCCUGAUGUACUGAAUUCCGUAGGCUUCGGUUGAUCUAGAGAUACCCCUUUUCUUUGCAGCAUUGGAUGGCUCCGUCAAACAUGUCCUCGAUCCUGUACUUAUACUCAAAACCGGCGUCCAACAGUUUCCUUGACGAUAGGCGGAAAAACCUGGGGCCUUUCAAUUCCUUCAAGGACCUACAAAGAUUUGAAAAGCUUUGCUUUCAGUCCAAGAACAGCAAUUAUCUGUUACAUCAUGAAAUGGGAUAUAUCAGGACUUACUCUGGAGAGGGUAUCUGAAACUCCGGGUAUCUUUCCGAGAGAAACUCGGACAUCUCCUUGAUGGUCAUCGUGGCCGAGGUACAAAUGUACCGCCCCUUGGUGUCGGGGUGCUCGAAGAGGAAGAUGUGUGCUCUCGCCAAGUCAUCUACAUGCACCAAAGCUACUUCGAGAAGAAGAGAGUACUCAUUCUCGUUCCCUGUUAAUUUGGAACGCAGUCAAUCUAAGAUUUAAGAUUCUUUGUAUCAUCGAAAUGAAUAUAAACAUAUAGACGGACAGAUUAUAGUCUUGUCUUCCUUUGUCAUAUACUUGACAUUGAGCAGAGAAACGUUGUCAAAUUAUGGAAUUCUGGUAUCGUUCUGGUGACCAAAACAAUCAAAUUGAUCAUGAAUUUGACUGCAGUACCAAAAAUGUAUCACGAAAAGUUAUUGUAAAAUCAAUAGAUUAUGGAGAUCAAUAUUAUAUGAACUAUAGUUUCUCUGUAGAUUUCACGUGAUCAACGGUUCGGAUAGACUUGACUGACCCUAUUUAUAUUGAUCAUAUAAUAUUUUCUCGUGUAUCACAUUACCUAAUACCAAAGCCAGCAAAGUUCUGACGGAUCCAGCGAACCUGGGGCAAAUGAAAGGCCCGUGGACAAACGGGGGAGCCACCGUCACCACUUCCAGUCCGUGCUGCUCUCCGAACUCAAGAACCGCCUUCUCAGUCAAUGUCUUUGAGAUUGCGUAGGAAGCUCCAAGCCUCGUCAUUUCUCGGAUGGACUCAACAUCGCUCCAGGAGUCCUCAUCCAAUAUAUCGGCCCCAGAGUUGUUAAAUGGAAUUGCAGCCGCACUCGAAGUGUACACGACACGCUUCACCGUCUUGGAGUUCAGGCAGGCCCUCAGGAUGCCUAACGCUCCAUCGAUGGAUCGUUUGGUUACGACUGGCUCUGGCUCUCUGUCCUCGAAGUCCAGCGGGGUGGCAACGUGGAAGACUCCGACACAGCCCUUGAUGGCUGGGCUGAAACUCUCGGGGUCACUGAGGUCAGCGGUGAGGAUUUGAAGCCUUUCUGAUGCUCCUGGUAGAUUUUUCAAGAAGCUCGUGUCCCUUUUGCCAUCUGACAGGAACAAAUCGGUCAAUCGCUUUGCGAAUAAAAGCUCAAACAUCGAAUGGGAAACUGAUGUGUGAGGUUAACUGGAGAUAGCAGCCCAAAAUAAAUUAACCAACAUGACUCAUUCAGGAAACACUCCGAAUUACAGCAUUAAACUUAGAAACGAGAACUGCAAGAAAAGCUGAUUCAAGAGAGAAUGAGCGAAUUCAUAUGUAGAACAAGAGCAAGAGAUCAUCAUUAACCGAUUCAGCUGCCCCUAAUUCAAGACAUCCUUAGUUCAUCUUAUGCUUUCUCAUGCUUGAAAAGGCGGCAAAAAAGGGUUGCUUUUCUUAUGGUUCCAUGCCCAAUGACAAUUCCGAUCAGAAUCGAACCUCAAACGCCCAAAUCCGACAAAAUACAUAUAAAUUUCUCCAUCUGUCGACACCCCAACUUUCUGCAUAAACAUUUCACAUACACAGACCGUUCGAAACACAUGAGCAAACACUUAAUCUAUACGAUCAAACUUCAAUCAAGAAAGCUAACCUUAGUAUUGCCAAUAAAUUUGCAGACACAGACAGAUCAGAUCACGUUGGACCGUCGUGUGGACAUAUACAGUACAAAACAUCAAUCUGAGACUAUACACUUGAUCAGAACUCAUGGCAAGAACGAAUCUCCAUGUUCAAGCAGGAAGAAAGAAGAAGGGAGACUUACCCGGGUCGGGUCUGACGGUGGUCCGGACGGAGUAACCAUGUUCAAGGAGCCUCAUGAUGAGCCAUGAAGCUAUGAAGCCAGUACCGCCUGUCACGCACACCGUGCCUCUGUUGCCCUCCAUGGCUUGGAGAAGUGAGACGCUUCAAUUUUCGGGAAGCAUCAAACUUUUUUGAGUGACCUCGAUGUUUUGGUCAGCAGAGUGGGCGCGCUUCUCCACUUAAACGCGGAUGCAAAGCCACUUACUUCACUUUGAUUUUCAUUUUCAAAAGGGGCAAAAAAAAAUGAGUGGUGACAGGUGCAUCUUCCCCGCUGAAAGUCGUCUGUCGGUUUGAACCAUAAGCACUCGAUCUACUUUUUUCAAUCAUCCGUCGUAUUUCAAAUGUAAGUCUCGAUUCACACACAAGAGAGGAUGUUAAAUAAUAUGGUAUAUGUAUAAUGUUGGCAACCAAUUGCCAAACUCCCGUGGAAAUAAAUAGCCAUUGCGACACUCCUCUGCUUCCAAUUGCCAUUGCGACAUUCCUCUGCAAAUAAAUAGCCAGGUAUUUCCAUACAACGGAUAAACAGGUAAAGGGUGAAUGAGAUCGCCUUGCUUUAAUCCCUACACGGCGAGAAGGGAUAGAGCAUCCCACCGUUCAUAAAUGAUAGUGGUAGAAGCAGUAGUGAUGCAAAUCCACCUGUAAUUCAAGAUCGUUCAAGAUCGAUUUUAACAGCAGAGGAACCGGUCCUUCACUUCCGUAUGUUGCAUCAUAGAACAUCAUCAUGCGUUCCCCUCCCGCGGGGAUGAAGCUAGCCCAGCAAGGACUCUAAUGAGAUCAUCAAGAAAAAGGCCUUAAGCGCUCGAUAAAUGAGCAAAGCGUUCCUAAUUUUUCCAGUUCAUCCCUUUUAUGGGGGCAAAACAUAAAUUUUAUAUUUUGGAUCCUCUUUUCUUUUUUCUUUUUUCUUUUUUCUGUGUAGCAUGGCCCAGGGUGGCAUGUAACAAAUGAAAUGAACUAAGUUUUCAUGGAUUGAAGUUCAGUGAGGUCAAACAAAAGAAUUUUUGGGAGUCAUAUUAGCUACUUAACUCUCUUUUAGCAUGACCUAAGAUUAUAAACAUCUCUAUUAAAUUUGCGCAAUUUGUGUAGUCUGAAAUAAACAAGGAGAAAAAUUCUUCUCGCCCCAUUUUUUUGUCUAUCCUCUAACCGAUUAUUGCAGCUUACCCAUUGCCCCAUGCUUCCUCCACGACCCCCCAAGACCAUCUCGACAGCUACCGUUUCCGAUAGCUUCCUCCGCCUCGAUAAAAUAUUCGAUGGUUCCAUAGCGUUUACAUCAACUGCUGGUCAUGUUGCGAGUAUUUUUUACUCACGUCCGCUUAUAAAUUGACUCGUGUUUGUUGAUGUGGAUGGGAAAAGACAAUUAAAAUAUGUUUCUACUUCCACCGACCAUGAAAGUCGGACGAGCCGCCUCGCGUUUGUUUUUUCUUUUCGCCUUUUGAGGUCAUGGAUGAGCAAGGCAUGUGGUCAUGAUUGGGAGCGUCACCGGCCAGCCAUGAUAGCAGCAACAUCAAUAUGGACGAGCAAGGCUAGAGAGUAAUGUCCAUGCUCGACCAUUUUGUUUGGCCAGAUCCGGUCAGCUCUGUCAUCCCGGACCUUGGACAAGUCGCCGUCGCCAAGGUCGCAGAUCCGGACCAUCAACAAGUUCCAUCCUUCUACCUUGGUUGGGAAGACGGAACCAAGGGGCGAGUUCCUCCUUCUCCAUGGCGAUGGAGCUCUUAAUGGGCCUUCGAGAUCACUAGCCCUUCGAGUUGGAUGGCACCAUCCCGUCGCACCAUCUGCGCCCCUUAGCGGGCGUCGCUCGUGAUCAGCCUAAGCCACUCGCCCCGCCGUGUUGCUUGUCCAGAUAUGGCUUCGCCCAUGGCCACAAACCUUGCUCAGCAUAGCUCACGAGGCGGCUCAUCCACAGACUGCAGCUCGUCCAUGGCUACGAACCCUUGAUGACGAACUCGGAAUUCCAGCGGCCGUGAUCAGUAAACAAGCGCAAGCCUGGAUGGCCGGACAGCGCUCUGUGGAUGGAGGAGGAAGAGAGGAGUCAACGUCCACAUGUCAACCUAAAAUCGGACCCGUCAGCAGCUAUUGUGGCGCUACGAAAUCACUUCUUAGUUUCUCCACCUUUGUCCAACAUGCGAUAGAUCUCUCUCUCUCUCUCUCUCUCUCUCUCUCUCUCUCUCUCUCUCUCUCUCUCUCUCUCUCUCUCUCUCUCUCUCUCUCUCUCUCUCUCUCUCUCUCUCUUCAUGCAUGCGCGGGCCAGAGUGCACAGAGGCUUGAUUACCAUUGACAGUCCUUGUCCAUGAUCACGGCUCCUUCAAAUCUCCGCCUCCUUCAAAUCUCCGCAUCAGGCAGGCUUGGAGGGCGACCAAAAUUUACAUAGACGCCUCCACGGCAAGAGGGUUCUCGUAGGGUGAUCGGUUUCCGGUAAGGUUUGAUUUCCUAAAACAGAACCGAACCAGGGACCGGACUGAGAAUCGGACCACAUCAUCCGAUUCAAUAGAAUCAAUUACUUAUUUUUUCCUAUUACUUAGAAUUGGAUCAAGAUAAUAUUUAGUUUACAUUUUAUUUAUUUUUUAAGAUAAUAUAAUAAAAAAGUAUAUUUAGUUAGUCAUGUUCGUUUGAUCCAGUUUUCCCUUGGAAUUAGAAACCAAACCGCCACUCCUAGAAAUUGAACCAAAUCAGUCAAUCUAGAUGAUUCCCAAUUAGGGCGGUCCAUUUUGCACACCUCUAUCUCACACCGUCGAGAUCUAGAUGAGAGCAAUGUCCAUUUGUCUUGUUGGCAAAAUCUAAUGCCUCCAUCCCUUGGACGAGUGACAAUGCGCACAGAGAGAGAGAGAGAGAGAGAGAGAGAGAGAGAGAGAGAGAGAGAGAGAGAGACUGUUGCGUGGAGAGGGAGAGAAGGGCAUCGACAGUUGCUCAAAGAAGAGGGGAGGGAGAAAGGCAAAGUCAGCUAAAGUUUGGCGAAACCAGCGGCGAAAUAAUACUGUUAAUCCAUCAAUUUUGACCAAGUUAUCGCUUUUAAUUUGUUUAUUAUGAUUCUUCAAUUACUUUUCAUGUUCAAUAUAAUUUCUUAAACUUUUGAAUUUUUAAUCUAAUUUCUCAACUUCCUUAUAAAGUCAAAUCAAUCAUUUAGUACGAUUCAGAAGUUUUUGUAAGCGAGUUUUUUUUAAUAUCUUUUCAUUUCAGUAGUUUUUCUCCAAAAAAAAUUAAUAAUAUUACAUUACUUUGUGCCUUUUUGGUUUUUAUGAAUAUCACGAUAACUCAAUCAAAAUCUUUAUAAUUGUGAAGUGUAGCUAAUAAUCUCUAAAAUAGUAAAAUUAGAAUCCCAUUUGAAGCUGUGUUACAUUGGUAUUCCUAUUAUGUUAUUUAUAUAUGCUUUCAUAUUGACAUCUAUAAAUGAAAUUGAUUUAUCUGUAGAUAUAUGUAUUUGUAUUAAUCUAAAUCGUGUUCUUUAAUAAACAAAUAAGGAACAAGAUAUAAGACACUGAAAAUUUUAUUAAUUUGAAAAAUGAGGAACCUUGUUCUUAAAAGUGAUUGACUACGAAGUAGCGAUACCAUCCGGGAACCUUUGUAUCAUGUGGACACUUUGACACAUGUCUAACAUUUGGUCAACAGGUAUCAAAAUCAAUUUUCCCGAUACUCUUUGACACGUGAGAGGGAAUUCUAACAUCUGUGUUCCAAAUUAUAAUACGCAAUUCUAACAAGCAUGUGAUCAAUUUUUUAAAUUUUUAAUAAAUGAUGGGUCAAAAUAUAAAUAUGUAAAAAAAAUUUAAAAAAAAAAAGAGGAAAAAAGAAAAACAUAAUCUCUCCUUUUUUCUCUUUUUUUCUAAGUCUCACUUCCCGUGACAUGCAAUUCAUCCUUAAUGUGUAUUUUUUCUUUUCUCUUCCAACACGCUCUGACACACAAGUCCCGGACGUGAAUUGCUAUUUUUUUCCCUCCAAUUUUAUGCAUUAUUAGAAUAUAAUUGAAUUUGUCAGAUUGAAAUAAUGAAUGAUAUUAACAAAAUAUGGAUUAACGUUAUUGGUGUAAAUUCAUUCUACACUCUUUUUUAUUAUAUAUUUAGUUUUGAAUUUAAUUAAAAUAAUCAUAAAAAUAAUAAUUUAUCAUUUAUAUCUAUUAACAUAUACAUUUAAUAUACACCGUGUUUCAAUGGGUUCGAAUUCUUUAUUUUUGGAGAAUUAAUGUGUCAGCGUGUCAGGUCGCACGUGACUUGUUAGUAUCAAUACUUUCUUGAAGAAUGAAAGUGUGUUUUCAGUAGUACUCCCAAUAGGAGAGGCAGAGUUGCCUGAUAUAGCAUGGAUUAAAAAAGACAGUGGAGAUGUUAUCGAUUUCUUAAGGUACAUGGCAACAUAGAUGGUGCAUUAAGCUUCGGAAACAGAAAUCCUCAGCAAUAUUCAAGAAGAACAGAAGGCACAUAUAUCAUGAUCUAUGCUAUAAGUGCUUCUGUUCUCAGUACUGCAAUAUCAAAUGCAUAAGAACAGAAACAUACAGUACCAAGAUUAUUUACACGGUUUGCUAUCUCCUAUAUGGCGCUCGGAUAAAUUAGUUUUCACAAGCUGUGCUAGAUACAAGGUANNNNNNNNNNNNNNNNNNNNNNNNNNNNNNNNNNNNNNNNNNNNNNNNNNNNNNNNNNNNNNNNNNNNNNNNNNNNNNNNNNNNNNNNNNNNNNNNNNNNUUCUGCAUUUGUUUAGAGGACUAUUCAGCAGGUCAGAAAAGAAAUAGGUCAUACAUAAAUGGCAUCAUGUCCACUUUCUGGUACUCUGAACAUUCCUACGUUCAGCCUGAUGUACUGAAUUCCGUAGGCUUCCGCUCGCAUCUAGAGAUACCCCUUUUCUUUGCAGCAUUGGAUGGCUCCGUCAAACAUGUCCUCGAUCCUGUACUUAUACUCAAAACCGGCGUCCAACAGUUUCCUUGACGAUAGGCGGAAAAACCUGGGGCCUUUCAAUUCCUUCAAGGACCUACAAAGAUUUGAAAAGCUUUGCUUUCAGUCCAAGAACAGCAAUUAUCUGUUACAUCAUGAAAUGGGAUAUAUCAGGACUUACUCUGGAGAGGGUAUCUGAAACUCCGGGUAUCUUUCCGAGAGAAACUCGGACAUCUCCUUGAUGGUCAUCGUGGCCGAGGUACAAAUGUACCGCCCCUUGGUGUCGGGGUGCUCGAAGAGGAAGAUGUGUGCUCUCGCCAAGUCAUCUACAUGCACCAAAGCUACUUCGAGAAGAAGAGAGUACUCAUUCUCGUUCCCUGUUAAUUUGGAACGCAGUCAAUCUAAGAUUUAAGAUUCUUUGUAUCAUCGAAAUGAAUAUAAACAUAUAGACGGACAGAUUAUAGUCUUGUCUUCCUUUGUCAUAUACUUGACAUUGAGCAGAGAAACGUUGUCAAAUUAUGGAAUUCUGGUAUCGUUCUGGUGACCAAAACAAUCAAAUUAAUCAUCAAUUUGACUGCAGUACCAAAGGUGUAUCACAAAAAGUUAUUGUAAAAUCAAUAGAUCAUGGAGAUCAAUAUUAUAUGAACCAGAGUUUCUCUGUGAAUUUCACAUGAUCAACAGUUCAGAUAGACUUGACUGACCCUAUUUAUAUUCAUCAUAUGAUAUUUUCUCGUGUAUCGCAUUACCUAAUACCAAAGCCAGCGAAAUUCGGACGGAUCCAGCGAACUUGGGGCAAAUGAAGGGCCCGUGGACAAACGUGGGAACCACCGUCACCACUUCCAGUCCGUGCUGCUCUCCGAACUCAAGAACCGCCUUCUCAGUCAAUGUCUUUGAGAUUGCGUAGGAAGCUCCAAUCCUCGUCAUUUCUCGGAUGGACUCAACAUUGCUCCAGGAGUCCUCAUCCAAUAUAUCGGCCCCAGAGUUGUUAUAUUGAAUUGCAGCCGCACUCGAAGUGUACACGACCCGCUUCACCGUCUUGGAGUUCAGGCAGGCCCUUAGGAUGCCCAACGCUCCAUCGAUGGAUCUUUUGGUGACGACCGGCUCUGGCUCUCUGUCCUCGAAGUCCACCGGGGUGGCAACAUGGAAGACUCCGACACAGCCCUCGAUGGCUGGGCUGAAACUCUCGGGGUCACUGAGGUCAGCGGUUAGGAUUUGGAGCCUUUCUGAUGCUCCUGGUAGAUUUUUCAAGAAGCUCGUGUCCCUUUUGUCAUCUGACCGGAACAAAUCGGUCAAUGGCUUUGCGAAUAAAAGCUCAAACAUCUAAUGGGAAACUGAUGUGUGAGGUUAACUGGAGAUAGCAGUCCAAAAUAAAUUAACCAACGUGACUCAUUCAGGAAACACUCCGAAUUACAGCAUUAAACUUAGAAACGAGAACUGCAAGAAAAGCUGAUUCAAGAGAGAAUGAGCGAAUUCAUAUGUAGAACAAGAGCAAGAGAUCAUCAUUAACC
rnacentral:lncRNA from 1 species